GGGGAAUAUUGGACAAUGGGCGAAAGCCUGAUCCAGCCAUGCCGCGUGUGUGAAGAAGGUCUUCGGAUUGUAAAGCACUUUAAGUUGGGAGGAAGGGCAGUAACCUACUACGUUAUUGUUUUGACGUUACCGACAGAAUACGCACCGGCUAACUUCGUGCCAGCAGCCGCGGUAAUACGAAGGGUGCAAGCGUUAAUCGGAAUUACUGGGCGUAAAGCGCGCGUAGGUGGUUCAGUAAGUUGGAAGUCAAAUCCCCGGGCUCAACCUGGGAAC
rnacentral:rRNA from 1 species